AUGGGUACGCCCUGUACGGACAAGGACAGAGAUUUGUUUGCGGCUGCCACUACAGUCACGGUUAGCAAUGGGCGUACGGCCAGAUUCUGGAACUCCUCUUGGCUGAAUGGUUUGCGCCCGCGUGACAUUGCGCCUGACAUCUUUGUUCUAUCUAAAAAGAAAAAUUGCUUGGUCCAGCAAGCUUUAUCUAACAACACUUGGAUCUCUCACAUCAACAUCUCCAAUGGCCUAACCUUCGACCACGUUCAACAGUUCGCCAACCUUUGGGAAAAGGUUGCUCAGGUCACACUUGCUGAGGAUAUGGAGGAUUCCAUUAUUUGGAAGUUCACCAAGGACGGUUUGUAUUCUUCCUCCUCGGCUUAUAAGGCGCAAUUCGAGGGCCUGACUACGUCGGACAUGGUCCAUUCGGUGUGGAAGGUGUGGGCUCCUCCAAGGUGCAAUUUUUUUCGCUUGGCUUGCUCUUCAAAAUAG
rnacentral:rRNA from 1 species